rnacentral:tRNA from 1 species
AGAGAUGUAGCUCAACUGGGAGAGUGCUUGCCUAAUACAUAUGAAGACCUGGGUUCAAUCCCCAGUAAAUCCU